UUAUCAAAGAACGCGGCAUUAACGGUUUUGGUGUUGCUUCUAAGUGUUGUUGAUUUUAAAUCGUUUUUAAAUCAAGUCUAAUAAAUGAAAAAGUCUAGAAAAAGUGGAUCCGGAGGAUCCUCUAUUCUCAAAGUAGCACUUAGACCACAUUCAGGUCCUAAUAUUUCCUUAAGUUCAGAAAGUCCAGCCACAUCGAAAGUUAAACGACGGGUUAGUUUUGCAGAAAAGAAUCAUGUUAAAGAAUUUUUAUCUGCGGAACAAGGAACUUUAUGGAACAAUACGUAUGAAGAAUUAUCAAAUAUAAAUACAGGACAAAUUGGUAUAAAUAAUCAGAAUCAUGAAAUUGUUAAGAAUACUUAUCAUUCUACAAGUAAUAGUAUGAUAGAGAAUGAAAAUGGGAAUCCAACGAAUGAUUCCUUAGAAUUAACAGAGUGUUUUGUUACACCGGGUUCCUUUAAAUCAAUUCAUACAGGAGAAAUAUUAUUAAACAAAUCAAUAUCUUUAGGACGUCAAAAUGAAAAUGACGAUGAAAAGAUUAGUAUUUCAAUUGAAUCAAAUCGUAACAUAGAUAUUUGUGCGCAUAAAAGUAUAAAUGUUUACUAUGAUACACCAAAUCUUCAUAUCAUGGAAGAUCCAGAUUUGAACAAAACUUGCAUCGAAGAUGUACCUAUGGAGAUUACAGAAAUACCUUCUGUUAUUAAGCUUCCAAACGUGUCUACUAAGCGCAAACUAGAACAAGAAGAUAAAGAAAACAUACCAAUAUCUGAUAUUAUCAUGAAAUCUAAUGUUCCAUCAAUUACAACAAAUGAAAUGAAUGCGAUGUCAGAUAAAACACAAUAUUUUUGUAAGGAAAAUUUAGAAUUUACAGAAUGCUUACAGUCUAUAAAAGAACCACUUCAUUUGCAACAAAAAUUUAAUAAAAUAAGUGCCUUUACUAAUAAUGAGAAUGUGACUAAUAAUCAAACUCAAAUAUUUAAAAAUGUAUCAAUGGAAAUGACGUGUGCUAUUCCAACGGUUUGUAAAACAAAUUCUGCAAAUCAUGGAGUCGUUUUUCAUGAUGCUUUGAUGGAUGAUACAAGCGUAAUUACUUCAGUAAUUAAUAAAAAAGAGAAAUCAAUUAGUAAAGAUAUAUCUCAAAUUGAAAAUGAUACUAGAUUUUUAAAGAAAAUGUUUAAUUCUGUUAAUAAGACUAAGUUAAUGGAUGCUUCGAUGGAAAUUACAGAAGGGGUUUAUUCAUUACCUCAUUCAACAAGAGUUAAUGAUGGUACGAAUAUUGCGACUGCUUUCAAUUGUAGUAGCUCCGCCAUAAAAGAAAAAACAAUGUUAAUUGAUGAUUUGAUGGAAUUCACUAUACCCGUAACCAAUUUAUCUCGAGUAGUACAUAAUACAGGUAAAGAAGAAUUACUCCAAGUUAUUCCUGCCAUAAAUGAUAGGACAGAGUUAAACAAUGAUUCUCUAGAAUUUACUGUACCCAUAAACAAUUUAUCUCGAGUAGUACAUAAUAUAGAUAGGAAAGAAGAAUUACUCCGAAUUACUCCCGCCAUAAAUGAUAGGACAAAGUUAAGCAAUGAUUCUCUAGAAUUCACUGUACCCGUAAAUAAUUUAUCUCGAGUAGUAAAUAAUACAGGUAAAGAAGAAUUACUCCGAGUCACUCCUGUCAUAAGUGAUAAGACAGAGUUAAACAAUGAUUCACUGGAAUUGACUGUACCUGUGCAAAAUUUAUCUCGAGUAGUACAUAAUAUAGGUAAAGAAGAAUUACUCCAAGUUACAGAGAUAAUUGAAAGUACAAUGUGUAAUCAAAUUCGAUUAUCAUCAGAGAAAGAAGCUGGUAUUAUUGAAAAUGAGCUAUCUGAAAAUAAUUCUAUGAAUAUUAAUAUACCUGUAUAUUUUAAUCCAACUUCUUCUACUAUUACUUCCAAUACAAUUGUUAAUGCUACAAUACAAAAUAAUAGCACAUUUAAACAUACUAUAAAUGAAAAUGGAAAUUCUAGUUUAUUACAAAGUGAAAAUAGAAACGUAGAAAAUCAAGUUUCAAACACAAAUGAAAAAUUAGAAAAAAAUGAUUGCUUAUUAGAUUCUGUGCAUAGAAUAACAAGAGAUCAUUCAAUGGCUGAAGUUAAAAAACAAACUAAUAUUCACUUUAACAAUAGCAACGAUAAUAUAAAGAAAUCUGUGCAUCAAAGAAUGAAUUAUACAUUAAGUCCUUCUACAAUGUAUUAUAAUGACGAUCAAAAACAAAAAGAAAAUAUCACCGCACAUAAUCAUCACACUCUAACUUCAUUAAUAUCAUCUUUCGUAUACGCAGAUAUGAUAGAAGAUGAUUCAUUUGUAAAAACGAUACAUAAAGUCCAGCAAGAAACACAAUCGAGUGAAAAUGUUAUGGAUGUGAAUUCAGUAAUUGAUAUGGUUAAUGUACAACCAAUGCGUAUACAAUGUCCCGAAAUAUGUAUCACCAACGGUGAACAGAUAGUGCAACAAUCUAAAAAUAAUCUUGAAUGUUAUUUCGAAAAUAAUAAUAUCCAAGUAGAUAAUGUAAUGAUUAACAAAGAAAAGAAUAAUCAAUACAGUUCAGAUAAAAUUUCAACUAUAAUUAAUGAGAUUCAUGAAAAUCAUGAAAAUGUUUUUGAAAAUAAACUUAACAAUGAAAGACUUACUAAUACUUCUAUAGAAUUAGAAAUUACUCAUAGAGAUAAACAAUUAGAUAAAAAAGACAAAAAUAUUGAAAACGUUUCAGCGGCAUGUAUAAUAAAGUCUAAGAAAAAUUCAGCCAUGGAUAUAAGUGAAUGUGCUAAUGCUCAUAGUAGCAACAAUCAGAUUCUUUAUAGAUCACGUGUUUUUUCACCAACAUUAAUUUCUGCUUACAAUCAAAAUAAAACGUGUAUUGGAGAAAAUAAUAUUACCCCAAUAGCUGACAAAAAAGACUUAACAUGCAGCAUGGAUAUAACACAAAAUAAUGAUAACUCUUUGAGAGAAGAAGUUGCAUUGGAAAAAAACACUAAAGAAAAUUCCAGUUUUCAAGAGGAUAAAUUUUCUUUACUAGUAAACAAAUUAAAGAACCAUAUGCUUAGUGACGAUUGCAUAUGGGAUUUAUAUUAUGAGAAUAUAGAUAAACAAGUGAUAGUGGUUGGUUUUAUUUCUACAUCUCUACUGAUAAUAAUAUAUACUCAGAAUAAUAUCAAUACUGACACGUGCAUGAUCAAAGAUAUUAAAGUAAUUUCACGAGUAGAAAAUGAUGAAAAUUUGUUCUUAAGUAUUGCACAUAAAUUAAUAAUUGAGAAAAUAAACAUAGAAUAUAUUUGUCAAUCAUAUAUAUACGAAGAAGAUAUUAUUCCCUUGUUAAAUCAUAUUUCAGAAGAUGUGAAAUUAAUAUUAGAUUUUAUAUUUGAUCUAAAACAAUUAGAAGAUACAAAUUUAAUGGAAAUAAAUACAGAAAGCAUAACAUUUAUAUCAAGAAGUAAAUGCAUGGAAAUUAUAUUGAAAAUUACAAUGGAUAUUAAAUUAUUUGAUAAAAUAAAUUCAUCACACAUCAAGAUCGUUUCUAUUUUGGGUACUGUAAUAGAGAAAGAAAUCCAAGAGUUACUUGUAAAUGUGAAAAGAGAUCAUAAAUUUUUAAGAAGAUACAUGUCUGAUAUUAAGGAUUAUAUUGAUAUAAUAGAACAAGUUAAUUUUGCAAAAAAAAAGUGUCGUAGUUGAAUUACAGAAAGAAAAAAAAGGAAAGGAAAUUAUCCCUCAUAAGAGAUUUAAAUGAUUGAAGUGUAAAAUAUUUAUAGAUGGAUCGAACAUAUGUACAAACGUAAAAGAUUUAUAUGUUUAACAGUAUAUGGAAAUAAUUGUAUAUUUUUUAAAUGAAUUUCUUUAUAAUAAUACUAUAAUUAUAUUAACUUCUAUUAAUUCGUUGGGAAUUUUUAAUAUUUUAUAUGCAAAAAGAAGUGAGAUAUGUAAACCAUUAGAUAUAUACAUACAAACAGGUUGAUCGACUAGCUUCGAUGAAGCCGGUUUGGACUAUGCAGGUUUUUGUUAAUGCACUUGCAGUUCUUUGGGUAGUAGCGUGUGAACAACUGGCUUCCCAUAGAAUCAUUCAAGUUUUCGUUUAAUUCUUAAGAAAUAAUUGUCACAUCGAUACCUUUGAUUAGAAUUAUCGAGAAUGUGCAAUCAAAAAGUUUCAUAUUAUUUAAUUGCCAACGUUUCUUUCAUUUCCUUAUAUUAUUGAUAAUUAA
rnacentral:misc_RNA from 1 species